AUUGAACGCUGGCGGCAUGCUUUACACAUGCAAGUCGAACGGUAACAGGCCGCAAGGUGCUGACGAGUGGCGAACGAGUGAGUAAUGCAUCGGAACGUGCCCAGUCGUGGGGGAUAACGCAGCGAAAGCUGCGCUAAUACCGCAUACGAUCUCUGGAUGAAAGCGGGGGACCGAAAGGCCUCGCGCGAUUGGAGCGGCCGAUGUCAGAUUAGGUAGCUGGUGGGGUAAAGGCCCACCAAGCCAACGAUCUGUAGCUGGUCUGAGAGGACGACCAGCCACACUGGGACUGAGACACGGCCCAGACUCCUACGGGAGGCAGCAGUGGGGAAUUUUGGACAAUGGGCGCAAGCCUGAUCCAGCAAUGCCGCGUGCAGGAAGAAGGCCUUCGGGUUGUAAACUGCUUUUGUACGGAACGAAACGGUCGGGUUAAUACCCUGGGCUAAUGACGGUACCGUAAGAAUAAGCACCGGCUAACUACGUGCCAGCAGCCGCCGUAAUAC
rnacentral:rRNA from 1 species